AUGAUGGGAACGAUCAAGUACAUCACAAUCAUCGGCUUCAUGUGGCACUCCUACACCAACGCAAUUCAGAUGAGGGUGGGUGCCAUGGUCGUCUAUGCUGGGCUUCUGCAUGAUCACAUCUUCCACAUGUUCGGUGCUAGAGUGGCUGAUCUUGUCGAAGGGUUACGUUUUCCUCUUCUCAUGGAUUUUGACCAUUGUUUUAGAGGGAUUCGGAUAAUGGUUCUGGUAGUUAGUACAUUCAUAUUCUUUGGCAUCCUCAAGCUGUUGGCUGGAUCUAUUGCAAUUGUUGUGAUUUAA
rnacentral:rRNA from 1 species